UGUUCCCAGUUCCAGGUGGGGUUGUGAAUAUGACUGGGCUUAAAGUUAUGCCUCUACAGAUGGACUAGCUACUUAAACGGCCGUAUGUAUAGUUUUAACUAGGCCUGGCAAACGGAUCGUGUCAGUCGUGUUUGUGUCGUUUUCGUGUACCACCUGUUAUCUUAACGGGUCGUGUCGUGUCACACCUGUUAUCUUAACGGAGUCCUUAAGUGACCCGACCCGUUAUAACCCAUUAUGACCCGUUAAGAAAAAUAUUUUUUUUUUCUUAAAUUUGCACAUAUCACACAUUGUCACAUAAAUAUUACUUCAAAACAUUAAAACACAUUUGUCGUUUAAGUACUACAUCUACACUCGAAAAUAAGAGUCUCAUAAAAAAUACAUCCAUACACUACUGAUCUAUAACAAAUAUUAAAUGUGCAAGGAUAUGCAAAAUGAAAGCGUUUUUGUUUUCAAGGUUGUGAAGCCUUUCUCAAAAGUUUAAACCUUGUCAAUGGAACUCAAAGCUUAAUGAAAGUGACCCACUAGUGUGUUUAUUCGUACUUUCAUUAAGUAUAACAUAAGAUUUUGUGGUAUCCACUAGUGUAAAUAUUUUAAAUUGAAGAUCGAAUUCAAUCAUUGUAUUCAUAUAGGGUCAAGGAGUGUAGUUGUAAAAAAUCAUCAAAAUCAGAGUUAAAAUAACCGUUAAAUUGUGAUUUUUCAUUUAUAACCGUCGAAAAGUUUUGUCUCGUUACUUAAUAUGUAAAUAUUUGUUUUUUGCUAUUUUUGGCGUAUGCGAUCUUGAAGCAUAUACAAACAAGUGUGACGGUUAGAUCGUUGAAACUAGUUUCGUAGAAUGCGUAUCCCAUCAAAACAAUAGAUUCACUAACAUUUAAGAGUUUAUUCUUACUUUCAUUAAGUAUAACAUAAGAUUUUGUGUAUCCACUAGUGUAAAUAUUUUAAAUUGAAGAUUGAAUUCAUUCAUUGUAUUCAUAUAGGGUCAAGGAGUGUAGCUGUAAAAAAUCAUCAAAAUCAGAGUUAAAAUAACUGUUAAAUCGUGAUUUUUCGUUUAUAACUGUCGAAAAGUUUUGUCUCGUUACUUGAUCUCUGAAUGUUUGUUUUUUGCAAUUUUUGGCACAUGCAAUCUCGAAGUAUAUACAAACAUGUUUGACAGUUGGAUCGUUGAAACUAGUUUUGUAGAAUGUGUAUCCCAUCAAAACAAUAGAUUCACUAACACUUCAAGAGUUUAUUCAUACUUUCAUCAAGUAUAACAUAAGAUUUUGUGGUAUCCACUAGUUUAAAUAUUUUAAAUUGAAGAUUGAAUUCGUUCAUUGUAUUUAUAUAGGGUCAAGGAGUGUAGCUGUAAAAAAAUAAUCAAAAUCGGAGUUAAAAUAACCGCUAAAUCGUGAUUUUUCUUUUAUAACCGUCGAAAAGUUUUGUCCCGUUACUUGAUCUUUGAAUGUUUAUUUUUUGCAAUUUUUGACAUAUGCGAUCUUGAAGCAUAUACAAACAAGUUUGACGGUUGGAUCGUUGAAACUAGUUUCGCAAAAUGUGUAUCUCAUCAAAACAAUAUAUUCACUAACACUUAAGAGUUUAUUAAUAUUUUCAUUAAGUAUAGCAUAAGAUUUUGUGGUAUCCACUAGUGUAAAUAUUUUAAAUUGAAGAUCGAAUUCAUUCAUUGUAUUCAUAUAGGGUCAAAGAGUGUAGCUGUAAAAAAAUAAUCAAAAUCGGAGUUAAAAUAACCGCUAAAUCGUGAUUUUUCGUUUAUAACCGUCGAAAAGUUUUGUCCCGUUACUUGAUCUUUGAAUGUUUAUUUUUUGCAAUUUUUGACAUAUGCGAUCUUGAAGCAUAUACAAACAAGUUUGACAGUUGGAUCGUUGAAACUAGUUUCGCAAAAUGUGUAUCUCAUCAAAACAAUAUAUUCACUAACACUUAAGAGUUUAUUAAUAUUUUCAUUAAGUAUAGCAUAAGAUUUUGUGGUAUCCACUAGUGUAAAUAUUUUAAAUUGAAGAUCGAAUUCAUUCAUUGUAUUCAUAUAGGGUCAAAGAGUGUAGCUGUAAAAAAUUAUCAAAAUCAGAGUUAAAAUAACCGUUAAAUCGUGAUUUUUCGUUUAUAACCAUCGAAAAGUUUUGUUCUGUUACUUGAUCUCUGAAUGUUUAUAUUUUGCAAUUUUUGGCGUAUGCGAUCUCGAAGUAUAUACAAACAUGUUUGACGGUUGGAUCGUUGAAACUAGUUUUGUAGAAUGCGUAUCCCAUCAAAACAAUAGAUUCACUAACACUUAGGAGGUUUAUUCAUACUUUUAUCAAGUAUAACAUAAGAUUUUGUGGUAUCCACUAGUGUAAAUAUUUUAAAUUGAAUAUCGAAUUCAUUCAUUGUAUUCAUAUAGGGUCAAUGAGUGUAGAUGUAAAAAAUCAUCAAAAUCGGAGUUAAAAUAACCGUUAAAUCGUGAUUUUUCCUUUAUAACCGUCGAAACGUUUUGUCCCGUUACUUGAUCUCUGAAUGUUUGUUUUUUGCAAUUUUUGACGUAUGCGAUCUUGAAGCAUAUACAAACAAGUUUGACGGUUGGAUCGUUGAAACUAGUUUCGCAAAAUGCGUAUCUCAUCAAAACAAUAGAUUCACUAACACUUAAGAGUUUAUUCAUAUUUUCAUUAAGUAUAACAUAAGAUUUUGUGGUAUCCACUAGUGUAAAUAUUUUAGAUUGAAGAUCGAAUUUAUUCAUUGUAUUCAUAUAGGGUCAAGGAGUGUAGCUGUAAAAAAUUAUCAAAAUUGGAGUUAAAAUAACCGCUAAAUCGUGAUUUUUCGUUUAUAACCGUCGAAAAGUUUUGUCUUGUUACUUGAUCUCUGAAUGUUUGUUUUUUGCAAUUUUUGGCGUAUGCGAUCUCGAAGUAUAUACAAACAUGUUUGACGGUUGGAUCGUUGAAACUAGUUUCAUAGAAUGCGUAUCCCAUCAAAUCAAUAGAUUCACUAACACUUAAGAGUUUAUUCAUACUUUCAUCAAGUAUAACAUAAGAUUUUGUGGUAUCCCCUAGUGCAAAUAUUUUAAAUUGAAGAUUGAAUUCAUUCAUUGUAUUCAUAUAGGGUCAAGGAGUGUAGCUAUAAAAAAUCAUCAAAAUCGGAGUUAAAAUAACCGUUAAGUCGUGAUUUUUUGUUUAUAACUGUCGAAAAGUUUUGUCUCGUUACUUAAUCUGUGAAUGUUUUUUUUUUGUAAUUUUUUGUUGAUGCAAUCUCGAAGCAUAUACAAACAAGUUUGACGGUUGGAUCGUUGAAAUUAGUUUCGUAUAAUUUGUAUCCCAUGAAGUUCAAUGGUGUGUGUGUGUGUAUAUAUAUAUAUUUAUUUAUUUAUUAAGUAGAUUUAAAUCUAUUUAUUUUGUAUGUAUAAUUAUUAUAGUUUUUAGGGGUAUAAAAUUUAAUUUAAAAUUUAAUAUAUAUAUAUAAUUAUUAUAGUAUUUUUUUAGGGUUAUAAAAUUAUUAAAUUAAUAUUCUGCUUAUCGUGUUACCCACGUGUAUACCCGAACCAACCCGUUAUCUUAACAGGUGCUUAUCGGGUUACCCGAUAACGGCCCGUUUCGUUAUCGUGUCGACCCAAACACCUGUUAAUUUCGUGUCGUGUUGUGUCGGGUUAUCGGGUCGUGUCAGAAAUUGCCAGGCCUAGUUUCAACCCUUCUUAUCAUCUUUGUGCAAGAAAAAUCAAAGCUUUAAUUAUUCUGCAUGAGGAAUAUAUCAGAGUUUUUGGCCAAAAUUUCCACAUAAAAUUUUAUCUUCUCAACUUCCUAACAUUAUCAAACAUUCAAUGACAGCCGAUCUGACUCAUUCAUGGGCAUGGAUUCUAAAAAGCCUACGUCUCUCUCAAGUCUACGUGUUGGCUGUACAGUUCAACCCUUCUUAUCAUCUUCGAGCAAGAAAAGCCAAAGCUUUAAUUAAUUAUUCUGUUUGAAUUUUCAUGUUCAUCGUAUGGAAUAUAUAAAGUUGUGGAUUAAAACAUUUGCUUGUUUGAUAUGCCUAGCUAGCAAGGAGGGUCUUUAGUCUUAGCUACGACUUGUACCAAGGAUUGUUCCCAGUUCCAGGUGGGGCCGCGAAUACGACUGGCCUUAAAGUUCUGCCUCUACAGAUGGACUAGCUACUUAAAUGGCUGUAUGUAUAGUUCAACCCUUCUUAUCAUCUUUGAGCAAGAAAAAUCAAAGCUUUAAUUAUUCUGCAUGACUUUUCAUGCAUUUGUCAUCAUAUGGAAUAUAUCAGAGUUUUUGGCCAAAUUUUCCACAUAAAAUUUUAUCUUCUCAACUUCCUAACAUUAUCAAACAUUCAAUGACAGUCGGACUGACUCAUUCAUGGGCA
rnacentral:lncRNA from 1 species